UGCGCAGGCGGGCUUGUAAGUCAGUGGUGAAAUACUGCCGCUUAACGGUAGAACUGCCAUUGAUACUGCAAGUCUUGAAUAUGGUUGAGGUAGGCGGAAUGUGUUGUGUAGCGGUGAAAUGCAUAGAUAUGACACAGAACGCCGAUUGCGAAGGCAGCUUACUAAGCCAUAAUUGACGCUGAGGCACGAAAGCGUGGGGAGCGAACAGGAUUAGAUACCCUGGUAGUCC
rnacentral:rRNA from 1 species